rnacentral:rRNA from 1 species
GUCCACGCCCUAAACGAUCUUCACUAGCUUUUCGGAGUAUCGACCCUCUGAGAGGCGAAGCUAACGCGUUAAGUGAAGCGCCUGGGAAGUACGGCCGCAAGGCUAAAACUCAAAGGAAUAGACGGGGACUCGCACAAGCGGUGGAUUAUGUGGUUUAAUUCGUAGGUAAACGAAGAACCUUACCAAGUCUAGAAAUCAACGUGAAAGCUCCCAGAAACGGGAGCCCUCGCAAGACUCGUUGACAGGUGUUGCAUGGCCGUCGU